AGUUCUCUUUCUCAAAGAACGUCUCAGCUGAAUGCUUGAACAACUGAGGAACUGAAGUAGAAGAACAAUUAGGUCUUGCAGCUAGAAGAUGAUUUUAGCAAACAAUAAAGGAUACAACAUAACGUAUUAAGGUUGCAGCCUUGUCUGCUGCAAAAGGUUUAAGUUGUGCUCAGGAUGCACGUGCUGCUACUGCUUCUGCCAUACAUGCCAAUGCAUAUUUCAUAAAGGUCAUCGCUUCUUUGGUGCUCUCGUAAUACCUACAGGCUCAUUUGGUUCUCCUUAAAUACCUUCGCAGCUUGAUCUAACACUUCGUUUUGGAGGACUACCCAAGGAAAUAACUAUGAGCACAAAUGGAUGGAGUGAUGCAGGGCAUGCUGUAAAUAAAGUGUAUGAUAUACUUUACGUGAUGGGCAUGACAAUAUUUUUGUCGUUGUGAAAGGUCAAGGUGGAAUACUUCCUAAUGUUACCAUUUUGCGUGAUGUUGGUGGAUAUCACCCUAUAAUUUAUCAGGUGAUGAAAAUCUCCACGUACUCGACUUUGGCACUAUUCUACAAGUCAAGAAUCAUUUGCUUUCAUGCCAUAUUGUUGGUUAGUUAAACAUCUCCAUAAUUUUCGUGUACUUGAAAUCUUGAGUAUGCUUACUUUUCACUGAUUUGUUAGGGAAAUGCUAUAUGUGGUUAUUGUUAAUACAGAGAAGAUAUUCCUAUAGGUCCUAGAUGACGUUUGGAUAUCGACUCUAAUUUUGGAUUCAGAAAGAGCUUCUUCCCACAGGGUCGUGGUGCUUUAAUGGAUAUUCCGUGUGUAGAUCUUCCACCACACUAAUGGACCCUUUCAAGUUGUAUGACCCAGUAGUAGGUGAGCAUUUCAACAUUUUUGCGGCUAGUCUAAAGGUAACAGAUCGUGUAGUUACAGUAAGUAAUGGAUAUUCAUGGAAACAGACUUCUAAAGGUCGUUUGAGAUUGCAUCAGAUAAUUAAUGAGAAUGAUUGGAAAUUACAUGCUAUUGUGAAAAGGAUUGAUACAAAAGAGAGUGGAACACUGAGUUGGACAUUCACUUAUAGUGUCAGAUGAUUACCUGAACUGCUCCUUGGACACACUGCAGACUGGCAAGCCUCAAUAUAAAGCGGCAUUGCAGAAGGAACUUUAUUUACCAGUUUGUGAUGAUGUCCAAUUGAUUAGUUUCAUUAGGAGGCUUGAGCCACAAAAGAGUCUCUAUCUGAUUGUUGAGGCAGUGCCCUUUAUGAUCGUAGGAAGUGAAACGAGUAGGUGAAUGUGAAAAGAAAAAUGAUUUAUAAUUAUUCUGCCUUUCUUCACUACUGUAGUAUUGUUGCCUUCUUAAUGGUUGAGGGUGGGUGGUGGAUUUGUUAGUUUCUAAAACAUUGAUUUUGCCUGUUAACUUUUCUGUUAUCAUCAUUUGAAAACUAUUGAGAUAUGUCCACGUGUAUAUAUUUAA